UCCCCGCUUCCGCCCUGCGCGCUAACCCAAGACGGGAGCUCGAGAGCUUGAUCCUGCGCGAGUUUACAGACUGCCCUCUUCCCUUUUUGCAUCGAAGACCACGACUCCCAAGAGGUAAUGCGUCGGCCCGGGACUACAUCUCCCGGCAUGCAUCGCCGGCGGGUCCGCGAGUUCUCACCAUCGCAGCUGGACUAUUAGCGGGGGCCCUAGCGCUCUUGUGGUUUGUUUCGGCAGUAUCUGAAUGUCAGCUUUUGGCACUUCUGGUCGCUCUGAGCCUCCUACUCGCAUUCCUGGAGCAAGGAAAAGUGUAAUGUUGGUUCGAGCUCAAGAAGGAAUCUGGAUUCCGGUAACUUUGCCCAGACCUUGGGAAUCCUCCCCUUCAAUACAUUUAAUUAAUGAAGUGUUACAGUGAAUUCUAAAAAGAUCUAAGAGAUUUAUUUUCACUUUAAUUGCUGUUAUCAUGGGCCUAAUUACAGUCACUGCAGUGGCCACCACUGCCGGAAUGGCAUUACACCAGUCCAUUCAAGCGGCUCAUUUUGUUAAUGGUUGGCAAGCCAAUUCCAUCCAAAUGUGGAAUUCUCAACAAGGCAUCGAUCGAAAAUUGGCAAAUCAAAUUAGUGAUUUAAGACAGUCUGUUAUUUGGCUUGGAGAUCAGGUAGUGAGUCUCGAGCAUCACAUGCAAAUGCAGUACGAUUGGAACACUUGAGAUUUCUGCAUCACCCCGUAUUCCUAUAACGAGACUGAUCAUUCAUGGGAAAUGGUCAAAAGACAUCUUCUGGGUAGGGAAGAUAAUUUAUCACUGGACAUAACUAAAUUAAAGAGACAAAUUUUUGAAGCCUCUCAAGCUCACUUAUCCAUUGUGCCUGGAGCUGAGGCGUUAGAUCAGGUGGCAGAAAAUCUUUCUGGAUUAAACCCCAGGACUUGGAUUAAGUCUAUUGGGGGCUCCACUGUAGUAAAUUUUGGAAUUAUGUUUCUCUGUUUAAUCGGCUUGUUUUUAGUUUGCCAGACUAGUCAAAGAAUCCUGCGUCAAAAUCAAGAGAACGAACAAGCCUUCAUUGCCAUGGCACAUUUAUUAUAAAAAGAAAGGGAGAGAUGUUGCGGGAAGUCAGGGACCCCGGAGGGACCAGCUGAAGCCAUGGCAGAAGAACAUAAAUUGUGAAGAUUUCAUGGACAUUUAUUAGUUCCCCAAUCAAUACCCUUGUGAUUUCCUAUGCCUGUCUUUACUUUAAUCUCUUAAUCCCGUCAUCUUCGUAAACUGAGGAGGAUGUAUGUCGCCUCAGGACCCUGUGAUGAUUGUGUUAACUGCACAAAUUGUAGAGCAUUUGUGUUUGAACAAUAUGAAAUCUGGGCACCUUGAAAAAAGAACAGGAUAACAGUGAUGUUCACGGAACAAGAGAGAUAACCUUAAACUCUGACUGCCGGUGAGCUGGACGGAACAGAGCCAUAUUUCUCUUCUUUCAAAAGCAAAUGGGAGAAAUAUCACUGAAUUCUUUUUCUCAGCAAGGAACAUCCCUGAGAAAGAGAAUGCAUCCCUGAGGGUAGGCCUCUGAAAUGGCUGCUUCAGGGCAGCUGUCUUUUAUGGUCGCAGCUGUGGGGAUGAAAUAAGCCCCAGUUUCUCAGAGUGCUCCCAGGCUUAUUAGGACGAGGAAAUUCCUGCCUAAUAAAUUUUGGUCAGACCAGUUGUCUGCUCUCAAACCCUGUCUCCUGAUAAGAUGUUAUCAAUGACAAUGCAUGCCCGAAACUUCAUUAGCAAUUUUAAUUUCACCCCAGUCCUGUGGUCCUGUGAUCUCGCCCUGCCUCCAUUUACCUUGUGAUAUCUUAUUACCUUGUGAAGCAUGGGAUCUCUGUGACCCAUACCCUAUUUGUACACUCCCUCCCCUUUUGAAAAUCACUAAUAAAAAAUUUGCUGGUUUUAUGGCUCAGGGGGCAUCACAGAACCUGCCAACAUGUGAUGUCUGCCCU
rnacentral:lncRNA from 1 species